CCACAGCUGAGAAGGAUAGAUGCUGUUAGCUGCUGCUGAGAGCUCAGGGGUGGGCGGGCGUGAGGAGACUGGUUUCAGGUGUGCUGAAGAGGCUGGCGGUUAGAACCAAACGCACCCAGCGUGAAGGGCUGCAGGCGGAGAGAUGCUUCCAGAUCAACGCACAAAGCAGAGAGGAGGAGCCUCUUCCUCCUGACCUCAGCCUCCCUCUCUCAGCCCCUACUGCAGAGUCUAGCGGGAAGCCAAGGGGAGAAGAAGACAUAGAGCCCAGACUUCCCUUCUAAAGCAUCAGUUCAAAGAGAGUACCUGGGGGCAAAACGACUGCGGGUGCAAUGAAGGACCAGAAUCUCAGGCAGGCGGCAGCUGUCCCCCUCCAGCCAGGGUCUCUGGGCCAGCCCCAUGGUGUCCUUCUCUGUACCUGCCCCGCCUGGUUCCAUCAGGCCUAGUCCUUACAAGAGGAGACGCCAGAGCUUUCGUGGAGAGAGCUGCCGUCUGCAAGCCAGGAGGAUUCUCACCAGAAACCUGGCCUGCUGGGCCGGGACCCUGGACUUCCAGCCUCCAGAACCGUGAGUAAAUACAUUCCUGUUGUCUAAGCCACCCAGUUAGUCUUGCAAACCAAUAUACCUCAACGAGUCCUUCCAGCAGCCGAGGGUAAAAGAAAGGCAGCAACUGAAACAAUGGCUGCAGCUGCCCUCAUGGAAGCACAAUUGCUUACAUUCCAAUCCCCUGAACUUAUUUUUUUAACUGUUGUCAU